rnacentral:rRNA from 1 species
AUUGAACGCUGGCGGCAUGCCUUACACAUGCAAGUCGAACGGUAGCGCGGGGUAACCUGGCGACGAGUGGCGAACGGGUGAGUAAUGCAUCGGAACGUGCCCUGGAAUGGGGGAUAACGUAGCGAAAGUUACGCUAAUACCGCAUAUUCUGUGAGCAGGAAAGCAGGGGAUCGCAAGACCUUGCGCUCUGGGAGCGGCCGAUGUCGGAUUAGCUAGUUGGUGGGGUAAAGGCCUACCAAGGCGACGAUCCGUAGCGGGUCUGAGAGGAUGAUCCGCCACACUGGGACUGAGACACGGCCCAGACUCCUACGGGAGGCAGCAGUGGGGAAUUUUGGACAAUGGGGGGCAACCCUGAUCCAGCCAUGCCGCGUGAGUGAAGAAGGCCU